CUCUGUAUUCUUCCACAGCUUUCUUGAACUGCAACCUUCUUCAGAUUAGUUUCUAUUCUCACAUAUAUAUAUAUUACCAUAGCAUAGUUAUGUUAAUUUAAAUUGCAUCUGUUCGACUGAUUUGCGGUUCAAUAAAGCUGUGGGAAGAUACAGACA
rnacentral:pre_miRNA from 1 species